UACGUAGGUGGCAAGCGUUGUCCGGAUUUAUUGGGUUUAAAGGGUGCGUAGGCGGCUUUGUAAGUCAGUGGUGAAAUAUGGCAGCUCAACUGUCAGGGUGCCAUUGAUACUGCGGAGCUUGAGUACAGAUGAGGUAGGCGGAAUUGACGGUGUAGCGGUGAAAUGCUUAGAUAUCGUCAAGAACACCGAUAGCGAAGGCAGCUUUCUGGGCUGUAACUGACGCUGAGGCACGAAAGUGUGGGGAUCAAACAGG
rnacentral:rRNA from 1 species